rnacentral:lncRNA from 1 species
GCACCUUUCAGACCAUAGAGUUUCAUGCUAUAAUACCUAGAGAGGAAUCUGGUGCUAGUGUCU